UGCCAGCUUCCCUUCCCUGAGCUGAUAGGGAUACUUCCACCUCUUCUAAGACAUGGCCUGGAGGAACAGGCCACUCUUCUUUCCUUCUUUUCCCUCAGAGAACCAAGUUGAAAAAUUCUGUAAAAAUUGUAAUUUAAUAUCAAAGCUUUCCCACAGCAGAGACACAUUGUGUUGGCUCAGAAGGCUUGAUGGAAUCUCCAAAGGUGGUGAGAUAAACUCACGGGUAUCAUGCUCUAAAUGUGCAGGAGCUCAUUGGGCAAGGCUUUCUCUGGAGGUUAACUCUGAUUGAAGGGGACACACACCUUCAGCUCCCAUCAGCUACAGGAAUCAGGAAUAGAGGUGAGCUGAGGAUGGCAAAUAUUUAGAAAUCAAAAUAAAUUCAAGAUGUAGGAUGGGCAAUAUUUAGAAGGGAAAAGAAAUUCAAAUCCGCUACAGUUGAAUCUUAAGGGAAAGGAGAAAAGACAGACUCCUCAGCUCACACUACCAGCCUGGCAUCUAAGGAAGCCCACAAGGCACUAGACAGCACAUUACCCUUGCGAUCCUGCCACAUCUCCCUCGGAGCCUCCCAUACCAAUUCAUACCGAUGCUGCAGUGAAUGUUCAUGAUUUAACAGUAUCGAGACAGCUGGAGUCAACAUUAAAAGCUGAGGGUAAUGCUUAUUCAAA